ensembl:lncRNA
CAGAAAGGAGGGUCGGGGGAGGCAGGGGGAUUAGAAGAGAAUUUCUCUUUCCUUUUACAAAAUAUUUAGAGAGUCCUUAUGUUUUUAUUUAGCAGCAGGAAUCUAGGGUAGAAACAGACUCUCAGCAGUAGCCAGUUGAGGGUUGAAUUUUUUUUUUUUUUAAGUAAAAUUCUGGAUGAUAGAAGCAUCUAGGUUCCUUUCUUUCUUUCUCUUUCUCUCUCUCUCUUUCUUUCUUUCUUUCUUUCUUUCUUUCUUUCUUUCUUUCUUUCUUUCUUUCUUUCUUUCUUUUGUAGAGAAGGCAGUGAGGGGAAGAGAUUAAAACACACUUUUUGGAGGAGGGCUCAGCUCUCAUGGCCAAAAUACGAAAGAUCAGCUCCAUGUGCGUGACUUAACUGUCCAGGAAACGAGAAUCGCAAGAGACUCCAAACCUGAAGUUGUGCUUAUAGCUUCAGCUCAAGUAAGAAAAAUGAGGGAAACCUACAAGUGGCCUGGCAUUUGAUGCUCUAGAACAUUCUGAGGCUCGUUGCUUCACUUCUAAAGAAACUGAAAUAAUUGAGGAGGAGCAGGGGCCCUCUGUUUUGGAGGAUUCCGUUCUACAGAGAAUGUUCUGCGCUCAUUGAUGUAAGUAGUCGCUCGUUGGAGCUCUGUUGUCACAUGGGAUUGGAAGUCAGGGUGUGGCUCAUGUUGAAACUCAUCUAUCUUGGUUAAAGUUGGGCUUACCCACCCGAGCACUCCUGGGAAUGUUGGAUUCCUGGGUGUGGUUUCUAAUAUUACAAUCUUAGUAAUUUUUAUAAGUUGCUUUCUUUCAACAAUAAUUUGAAGUGACUCACAAGAAAAUGAUACUGAGGACCACCAAAACUGGGAUCCAGGGCAGUCAUCUGUACUAGUUUUGGAAGAGUAAAUAACUGAAAUACAUACCUCAGAGAUGCUGCAGAUUUACACACGGACUCAGGACUUGAGGCAUAAAGAGAAGCGUGCUACAUUGCAGAGAUUUCCCCGAGAGUUUCCUCAUUUGCCAGAUGUAGCUUCUGGUCAUGGAACCUUCUCAUUUCACACUUUGGACAGGUCAGAGUUCACCAGCGAAUCUAACAGCACGGAAGCGUCACAGAUCUGAGACCUUUCUAGCACAGGGCUCACUGACAUCGGAAUCAUGUCUCUUUGAAGCCUGCAGUUAUAUCUCUAGGACCUAGCCCAGGAGCUGGCGAAUGCUCAGUGAAGACUCAGAGCCUUGACUUAGACCUCAUUCUGAGACCUUCCCACCCCGGAGCUCACUGAACUCAGAUGCCCCAAGUGUCUUCACCUCAUGAGGAGGCUGCUCAGUAGGGAUGGCCUUAGACUUGCCUGUAUCCCAUACAGUCUCUGGAAUAUUGUUGAGUGUGUGAACGGCUGAGCAAAGCAUGGCCAACUUUGGAGUGAGUGAUUCCCGAGUACAGGGAAAAUUCAAUGCCUCUCCUGUUGACCUUAGAAGAUUUCUUCUGUUUCAGGGAUUCUUGAGUAUGCACACUUUCCUGUUUCUGAUCAAAGGAACUCCUCAGUAUUUGUUGCCUCCCUUGUGAUGAUGUCAUGGUUUAAUGACGUUUUUCCACAGAUUGCCACACCAGUCUUCCUCCUGCUCUCUUUUCCUUUCUUUCUUUGAUAAACUCUUAACAGGAGUCUUCACAGGGGAUGGAUGUUUCAGAACAAGUCAUUCAUAGCUAUGCUUAACCACUAAUCAGAAGUUAUUGUGGGCUUUCUCUAUUCCAAUAGGUUUUUCUGGAGUUAUUUGUCUGUGAAUCAUUCUGCUCUACCUUCCAGAGACUAUGAUUGUAGUCCUACUUCCUCUUCCCCAUCUGAAAUAACCACUUCCAGGAGCCAUUAUUUCACUAUCGAAGGCAUGUCCUAAAUAGCUCAGUGACAUGAGACUUGGUUUGGGUCAUGUGUGUCACCCCCCCACCCCAAUCUCUUUCAUGGUGUUGAAACUAGGAGCUAUCUCAAGUACAUUGGCCCCUUCAGAUAUAAGCCCUUUUUGUCACCAAGUUCUUUUGAGCUGCCAGAAACAAUAAGAGAGCUAGUGUUAUUUGUUGUGUGUGUGGUGGGGGGAGGUUAUGACUGGGGAAUGAG